rnacentral:rRNA from 1 species
UACGUAGGGGGCAAGCGUUAUCCAGAUUUACUGGGCGUAAAGCGCGUGUAGGCGGCUGGUUAGGUGUGAUGUGAAAUCUUCGGGCUCAACCCGAAAACUGCAUUGCAAACCGGCCUGGCUAGAGUGCAGGAGAGGGAAGCGGAAUUCCAGGUGUAGCGGUGAAAUGCGUAGAUAUCUGGAGGAACACCGACGGCGUAGGCAGCGCCCUGGACGACACCUGACGCUGAGGCACGAAGGCCAGGGGAGCAAACGGG